UACGAAGGGGGCUAGCGUUGUUCGGAAUCACUGGGCGUAAAGGGCGCGUAGGCGACCGAUCAAGUCGGGGGUGAAAGCCUGUGGCUCAACCACAGAAUUGCCUUCGAUACUGUUUGGCUUGAGACCGGAAGAGGUUAGUGGAACUGCGAGUGUAGAGGUGAAAUUCGUAGAUAUUCGCAAGAACACCAGUGGCGAAGGCGGCUGACUGGUCCGGGUUCUGACGCUGAGGCGGCGAAAGCGUGGGGAGCAAACAGG
rnacentral:rRNA from 1 species